rnacentral:rRNA from 1 species
CCUACGGGGGUCAGCAGUGGGGAAUAUUGCACAAUGGGGGAAACCCUGAUGCAGCGACGCCGCGUGAGUGAAGAAGUAUUUCGGUAUGUAAAGCUCUAUCAGCAGGGAAGAAAAUGACGGUACCUGAUUAAGAAGCCCCGGCUAACUACGUGCCAGCAGCCGCGGUAAUACGUAGGGGGCAAGCGUUAUCCGGAUUUACUGGGUGGAAAGGGAGCGUAGACGGCAGCACAAGUCUGGAGGGAAAUGCUAGGGGUUAACCCGGGAACUGCUUUUGAAACUGUGCAGCUAGAGUGCAGGAGAGGUAAGUGGAAGUCCUGGGGUAGCGGUGAAAGGCGUAGAUAGUAGGAGGAACACCAGUGGCGAAGGCGGCUUACUGGACUGUAACUGACGUUGAGGCUCGAAAGCGUGGGGAGCAAACAGGAUUAGAUACCCGUGUAGUC